rnacentral:pre_miRNA from 1 species
AUGUACAUGUGCUACAUUGGGGAUCUUGUUAAAAUGCACAUUCUGAUCCACUAGCCCUGAGGUGGGGCCUGAGAUUCUGCAUUUCUAACAAGCUCCCAGGUGAUGGUAAU